AUUGAACGCUGGCGGCAUGCCUUACACAUGCAAGUCGAACGGCAGCACGGGAGCAAUCCUGGUGGCGAGUGGCGAACGGGUGAGUAAUAUAUCGGAACGUGCCCAGUCGUGGGGGAUAACGUAGCGAAAGCUACGCUAAUACCGCAUACGAUCCAUGGAUGAAAGCGGGGGAUCGCAAGACCUCGCGCGAUUGGAGCGGCCGAUAUCAGAUUAGGUAGUUGGUGAGGUAAAGGCUCACCAAGCCAACGAUCUGUAGCUGGUCUGAGAGGACGACCAGCCACACUGGGACUGAGACACGGCCCAGAAUCCUACGGGAGGCAGCAGUGGGGAAUUUUGGACAAUGGGCGCAAGCCUGAUCCAGCAAUGCCGCGUGCAGGAUGAAGGCCUUCGGGUUGUAAACUGCUUUUGUACGGAACGAAACGGUGAGCUCUAAUACAGUUUGCUAAUGACGGUACCGUAAGAAUAAGCACCGGCUAACUACGUGCCAGCCGCCGCUGUAAUAC
rnacentral:rRNA from 1 species